rnacentral:rRNA from 1 species
GACGAACCGUGCGAACGUUGUUCGGAAUCGCUGGGCUUAAAGGGCGCGUAGGCGGCAGUUCAAGUCCGGGGUGAAAUCCUCCAGCUCAACUGGAGAAGUGCCUUGGAUACUGGAUUGCUCGAGGGAGGUAGGGGUCGAGGGAACUUCUGGUGGAGCGGUGAAAUGCGUUGAUAUCAGAAGGAACGCCGGUGGCGAAAGCGCUCGACUGGACCUCUUCUGACGCUGAGGCGCGAAAGCUAGGGGAGCAAACGGG